ACGGGAGGCAGCAGUGGGGAAUAUUGGGCAAUGGGGGAAACCCUGACCCAGCAACGCCGCGUGAAGGAAGAAGGCUUUCGGGUUGUAAACUUCUUUUACCAGGGACGAAGGACGUGACGGUACCUGGAGAAAAAGCCACGGCUAACUACGUGCCAGCAGCCGCGGUAAUACGUAGGUGGCAAGCGUUGUCCGGAUUUACUGGGUGUAAAGGGCGUGUAGGCGGAGCUGCAAGGCAGAUGUGAAAUCCCGGGGCUCAACCCCGGAACUGCAUUUGAAACUGUAGCCCUUGAGUAUCGGAGAGGCAAGCGGAAUUCCUAGUGUAGCGGUGAAAGGCGUAGAUAUUAGGAGGAACACCAGUGGCGAAGGCGGCUUGCUGGACGACAACUGACGCUGAGGCGCGAAAGCGUGGGGAGCAAACAG
rnacentral:rRNA from 1 species